UACGUGAGUGGCUAGCGUUAUCCGGAAUUACUGGGCGUAAAGGGCUCGUAGGUGGCCAACUAAGUCAGACGUGAAAUCCCUCGGCUUAACCGGGGAACUGCGUCUGAUACUGGAUGGCUUGAGUUUGGGAGAGGGACGCGGAAUUCCAGGUGUAGCGGUGAAAUGCGUAGAUAUCUGGAGGAACACCGGUGGCGAAGGCGGCGUCCUGGACCAACACUGACACUGAGGAGCGAAAGCCAGGGGAGCAAACGGG
rnacentral:rRNA from 1 species